rnacentral:sRNA from 1 species
UAUCUCUCCGUACGGGGAAGGAUGAGAAGCUUCGACUAAGGUUCGAUUCGAGCGCAGCGAGAAAGCGUUGCCGCAGGCAACGACCCGAAGGGCGAAGCGCGCAGCGCUGAGUCAUCCUU